rnacentral:lncRNA from 1 species
CAACACUCGGGCCAAGUAAACUUGAGAGGUUUAAUACGUGCAUGUAUUAAGUGCUGCAAGACUUCAAGGAAGCUUUCAAGCCAAUGAACUCUAAAUUGUAUGGAAAGGAAAAUGCAGGAAAUGGGAUCUCACUCCAUCACUCAGGCUGGAGUACAGUGCUGAGAUCAAGGCUCACUGCAGCCUUGAACACCUGGACUCAAGUGAUUCUCCUGCCUCAGCCUCCUGAGUAGCAGAGACUACAGAGCCUCAUUCUGUUGCCCAGGCUGGAGUGCAAUGGCAUGAUCUCAGUUCACUGUGACCUCUGCCUCCCUGGUUCAAGUGAUUCUUCUGCCUCAGCCUCCCAGGUAGCUGGACUAAAGGGAGCCAGCUUUCAACAAGUCUGCUGGAGUUUGCUAGGGGUCCACUCCAGACCCUGUUUGCCUGGGUAUCGCCAGUGGAGGCUGCAGAACAGCAAAAAUUGCUGCCUGUUCCUUUCUCUGGAAGCUUCGUCACAGAGGGGCACCUGCCAGAUGCCAGCCGGAGCUCUGCUGCGAGCUGCAAACCAGAGCUGUUCCUAUUCAACCAUCUUGCCCACCUAGCAAGACAGGCCAAGAUUCAAAUUCAAAAAUUACAGAGAAUACCACAAAGAUAAUCCUCAAGAAGAGCAACCCCAAGACACAUAAUUGUCUGAUUCACAAAGAUUGAAAUGAAGGAAAAAAUGUUAAGGGCAGCCAGAGAGAAAGGUUGAGUUACCCAUAAAGGGAAGCCCAUCAGACUGACAGCAGAUCUCUCUACAGAAACCCUACAAGCCAGAAGAGACUGGGGGCCAAUAUUCAAUAUUCUUAAAGAAAAGAAUUUUCAACCCAACAUUUCGUAUCCACCCAAACUAAGCUUGAACCAGGUUUUCUCUCUGGUUGUAGUACACUCUUGCUGUCUGUCUUUCUUGCCUUCUUUCUGCACAUUUUCCUUUUAGGAAAUCAAGACAUAUUUCACUUCCUUGAAGGGGUUUGAGAUUGAUAAAAAGAAAUGUGAAGAGAAAGAAGAUAAUUUUUUUCUUUUUCUGGUCCAUAUAAAGAUGAUGCUCUAACCCUCCUCCCUUACAAGCAUGUGUACCUAUCAAAAGAAAACUUAGAAAUUUGAAUCUUGAGUUUACAUUUAAGUCAUAGCACGGAGAGGAUUGAGAAUGUGGCACAAUGGAAUUCUCAUCCCUACUAUUUCUAAAUCACUCAGCAAACUGAAGCUAGGUCUCUUUGCAUGGUUUCCAGAGGCGUCAUGAUGGAAUGGAUACAGAAAAUGGACAAAAUACUCAAAAUUUAUGUCUUGGUUCUCACCACUCACUCAUGGUUGAGACUCAUUGUCUACCUGUGCAGAUACGGCAUUGAUGGAGGCUGGUGUGUAAGUGAAAAAGCCACAAAUAAUGAUACUUCCCUGUUGAGUUCUAUUAAUACACAGUCAAUCUGUAAGUUAUUCAGUAACACCACUGAGGGAGCAAAAAUGUAGCUGAGACAAGAGCUUUUAUGCCUCCCACUAAGCUGCACUUUCAAGGGGGCAAGGUAACCCUGAAGGUGGAGUAGGAAAUUAGACAUUUUAACUGAGGAACCAUGCAGAUUGUGCCCAAGAGUCAGAGAAGUACAUUUUCUGCUAAUAAAGAAAUGGAGACAAUGAAUUAGGGAAAACAACUGUGAUCCUGGGAGCUAAUAAAAUCACAGACUGCCAGUGCUAAGACAACAUCCCACAUCUUUCAACAGCCUCUAAAUUCAUCAGCAGGAGGCCACACCAGGUACACAGGAUGAGCAAAGCCAGAGACUUACACUCAGAAAAUGAACUGUGACCACAUUUUCUUCUUGAAAUUAGAUGCCAUAUUAGGGAGUAAGAAAAGUUAGGGAGAAACAACCCUGAUAAGAACUUGAAUUUUAAAUGGUUUGAAUACUAAUACAAAAGAGAUUAAGUUAAACAUUUUUUUAAACAAUGAUUUUCACUUUGUCUUAUCUUUCUUAUAGGUUGGUGGCCUCUGAUGAAGGUAUUCCAAAUAUAGACAUUAAAAAAAAAAACUUUUGUGUUAGUGAUUUUAGUUGCUCGAUCCUGCUAUGUUAGGUAGGAACUCAACAAAUGUAGGAAAAAUUGAAGAAAUGAUGUGUGUCCUCAUUUAUAUAUUAUUCCUCAUUUUCUCUUGAGCACCUCUUUCAGGAUUCAAUUUCCUUUUUAAAUUUUAAGAUUUCUCUAGACCAAUGACUUCUAGAGAUCAGCUGCGACAUUAAGUUGUAAUACUGUUAAUAUUAACUAAACAUGCUUGUGAAAAGUCUAGCCAAGCAAAACUCACUUACCUAAGAGCUGGAGUAAGUUCCCAGUUUAUACUUGUUAAAGUCAAGUGGCUAUUAAGAAAUCAGGAGUUAAUCCAAAUGACUAUGUCAUCAUUUUAGGACCUACUGGCUCCUCAGUUGCCAAAUAUAUUCAUGUUCUUUCUAUUGAGAGACACAUUACUUCAUCAACAUAAUUCCCAUGUCUUGUUCCAGGCUUAGGACCAAGCCUGACUUUAGUUAAGAGGGAUUUAAGAUGCUCCAACAAUCAGGAGACUCAGGAGUAAGUUAGUCUUUCCACUACACUAAUUCCAACUCUGUCUCCAGUUUUACAUCUCUUGUGACCUUUACUCGGACUAAGUUCUCCUUCCACAUCCUCUUUCCGUUAUUUUGAGUGUCCAAACUCCUGCUUUUGCUAUCUAAUUAGUACCAGAGUCUUCUAAGGCUGGAUUUCUGUUUUGCUCUUAUUUGUCUCUCCUUCUAAGAAUUGGCUAAUUCUUCCUGAAUGCUGGCUCUGUAACUGGGAUGGAAAAUUGUGACAGAUUUAUCAUCUGCUCCACUGAGUUUCAGAGUACUGCCUGUAGAGGCACCUUCAUUACAUUGUGUUGGGCAGUCAGGAGGCCAAAUGUUUUCCUGCAUUACCAUCUGUUGUCUGUAUUCUUCCUACUGAGUUUUACUUCAACUCAUCAGGUGUCAUUGACUCUUUCUACCUAGAGCCGGUUCACAGUUCCAGGUACUUGCCUCUUCCUGUCUAGACUGCACCACUUGCUUUGGGACAUAAUGAUUAUUCAUUUGGGAAAAAACUGUAGACCAACUAGGCUAUAUGCAGCUUUAUCUAAUGGAAAAUCUGUCUCAAGCUGGCACAUACAAUGAGAAAUGUAUCAGUUUUCAAAUUUUGAAGUGCAGGGAUACAUCGACUUCGAGGUUGAGAUCAACUAAUGUUUCCUUAUUUAUGCAUGUAGUUAUGGAGACAUGCAGUGCCAAGGUACGAUUUUAAUACAUCACUCAAGAAUAAAAAUCACAUUUAGAUUUACUGAAUGAAAUAAAGGUUUUAAAAUACAAGAAGCCAAAUUAAUAGUAAUAUAAGCACAGUUUUUAUUUAUUACCUUGACUUGGGAAAGGGUGCUUUAAAGAUAGCCAAUAGAAAAGGAUAGACUCAAGUAACUUUUCUUGGGAAUAUUUAUUCAGAAGGUUUUCUGAAAGAAGAUAGUAUAUUUUCCUUAGUUCUCAAUCUACACAAUUCUGUAUUCAGGUACAUUUCUUUGGAUUCAGCAUUUAUUAGAUUAAUCCAGAUCAGCUGGCUCUUUCUAAACAGGACUUUCCAGGAUAAGCUUAUUUUUGAUAGAAUUUAUUUUUGCCUUAUUCAAUUUUACCUUUAAAUGUACUGGUCUUAAGCCAAAAUUAAUAUUUAUUAUAUCAUCAUUAUCUUGUUUUCCUGUUUUCUUCAAUUAUAUGUACUUCUCUCAAAACACCCAUUGCCCAGGUCCCGCCACAUACAUAUAUAUUUUUAUUUUAUUUAUUUAUUUAUUUAUUUAUUUAUUUACUUAUUUAUUUAUUUAUUGAGACAGAGUCUCACUCUGUCACCCAGUUUGGACUGCAGUGGUGCAAUCUCGGCUCACUGCAACCUCUGCCUCCCAGGUUCAGGUGAUUCUCCAGCCUCAGCCUCCCAAGUAGCUACUACUACAGGCACACACCACCAUGCCUGGCUUUUUUGUGUUUUCGGUAGAGACAGGGUUUCUCCAUGUUAGCCAGGCCUGUCUCAAACUCCUGACCUCAAGUGAUCCACCUGCCUUGGCCUCCCAAAGUGUUGGAAUUACAGGCGUGAGCCACCGUACCCGGCCACACCACAUAAUUAUUUAGAUUAAAGGUCAUUGUCAUAUUUUAAUUUCGAUAUUUUGAAAAUAAUAACGUUGACCUUAAUAGGAAGUUUUUUUUUUUUUAUUUUAUCGCAAAACUAUUUAUUAGGGGCUGGAGGCAAGGGCAAGAGACUUUCUAUGAACCAGAGUCUUGAAUAGUCUUAUGUGCAAAAACCACUUUCAUGUGUAUCAGUUCUUGUGAUCUUUAUAACAAUGCCAUAAACUAAAUUCUAAAUUUGGAAGUUAUGUUGUAUGACAAUGAGAUAUAAUAAAAAAUGUGCUGGAGUUGAAUUAUAACACAUUCUCUUACAUCUCUAAUCUGUCUCUUACCUGCAUGAAGACUUCAGAUAAUUUUCUUAAUCAACUAUGGCAGAGUUUCCUCAAUCUAAAAUGGGAAUCAAAACAGAUAUUUUGUUCCAUUUCUAGGAGUUGAGUGAAUCAACUGAAAUAAUAAGACCUUAGUAUCAAGGUAUUCUACUAAUGUAAAUAAGAGCUUUACACUGACGGAGACCAGACAUGCAUGACUGAGGUAAAUCAAGUAUGUUUGCUUAUUUAAAGGAUGCAAGAAGAAGCCAGCUAGUUGGGAUAUAAAGCAGGAAAAUCCACACUAUUUUAAGUGAUAGACAGAGGAUUAAAUUCAUAGGCACCCUAUAAAGCCCUCAGAAGUAAACACACAAUUGCAAAUGAUAAGUCUAAGUGAACGACAACCAUAUCAGAUCUUUUGAGAAAGCUCAAAGUCUUCCUUCUGUGGCCAGGCUUAUAUACAGAUGGCUGCAGAUAUUCAUUGCAUCUACUGGGAGCCAUCUUAUUUUAGGCAGGUACACCUUACAGGUCUUGGUGUAAUACAAUAAACAUUGUGAACACAGACUGGUUGACCACAGGGCAGUGCUCUCAGGAACAAAUGGUCCUCAUUUAUCCCCCAGUAUUCCUAGUACUCGCUUAAACUUAGAACUGCCAAAUUAGAAAUAGACUUAGUUACCAAGAUGUCCUUACUCCACAGCCUCUUAGAUUAGCCCCAGAAUAUAUUUUUCAGUUCACCACGUUACUUAAUAUUUUCUGUGUAUGUGGUCUUAACCAAUCUAAAGAAUUUGAUGUUUAAACUUUCUUCUACACAUCAUGUUCUCUGUGUCAGGGAGUCAGAUAUCUAAAUUAGGCCUCAAGGGUUUCAAGAAGCAAUACGGGACAACUGUAUCUAAUAUCCUGUUACCUAACUUACAAGAUGACAGUUUCUUCUGAAUUCUUGCCUAUUAUGACAAUUAAAAUACAGAACUUUUGGAAUCUCCAUAAUUAGGUAGGCAGCCAUUUUAUCCUGUUCAGUUUAUAAUCAAUUCCUGUUGUGCCAAAUCACUAGAAAUUGGAAGUUCAUUGAAAAUGCAAACGGUUGCAUAUCUAUCCAGAUAAGGCUGCAAGAUGAAAGAUAUUAUAGUGAUUAACAGUAUCUAAGUAACUGUACCGGAAUUCUUGCUUCACAUAUAAGAUACUUACAUGUCUUGAAAUCCCAGGGAGGAACCUCAGCUACGGUUCAAGUGAAUGAUCCCAAUAACCAACGCUAGUUCAUUUGGGAGAGAAGGAGAACUGUGCUUCUGGACGUUGUGAAGGACAGUACUUUUAUUCCUCCAAGUGAAGUCAUUCUCCCUCCUCCUCCAUUCCCCAGUAUAAUGAAAUUUCACAAUAUCUGUCAAAAAUAUUUUCACUAAUUGAUUUGAGUAGUAAUUUUUGGUCAGGUCAGCUAUAAUGAGGAAGUAAUACUCUAACUCCAGAUUUAAGAGGGAUCAGGGUCUUAAAAAAAUUCUAUAUUGCUGAUCAGAUUAAGCCUAUUGUGUAUCAGUUGAGAUCUAACCUCUUUCUCCAGGCUCUUUCCUUGAAUAACUAUGCACUGUAAAGUAAUUACCAUCAUUGGUCAAACUAACCACGGUCAGUCAGGUCCUUCCACAAAUAGGUAUUUUACUUGAGUUGCUUUUGAGACAAAAAAAAAUUAAAAUUUUAUAAAUGUCUAUAUUAUUUCCUAUGUUUUAUUUCAUCUUAAUAAUCUAACCAAAGCUUUAUAUUUUUCUGAUUUUUUUCAGGUAGUUCUAGAAUACUGCUAAGGAAGGUACAUGUUUGCACUGAUUUGGGAUGAUCUAUUUACUAGUAAACAAAGGUUGGAAUAUAAUAAGGCAAGCCAGGCCACAGGACAUCAAUAGCAGAAUUUUAGAGCUUCAUUCACACUGCAUUUCAAACACUUUUACCAGUACAUUUUUAAUAGUAAUGGUAGAGGUGUCUACUACUUAUUGAGUUCCUACUGUAUCAGGUACUUAAAUGUGCAUAGUUACUCAAGGAAACGGCCUUGUAGGAAGAGGUUAGAUCCUAACUGAUACAUAACAUGCUUAAUCCUAUAAACAAUAAAGGCAUUCUAAAAUAAAUGAUUCUUCGUAUUCUUUUAAAUUAUCAUGAAAACCCUACGAGUUAUGUGUAAAAUUAUCCCCCCUUCCUUUCUAUUUCCAUCCCUUCUCUCUUAUCCUUCCUUCCUUCCCUUACUCUUUUUCCAUCUUUCUAUCUCUCUCUCUCUUUUACAUUUUAGUUGAGAAAAUUUGGCCAAUCUAGACAUAGCAUGUAAAUAGAUCUGAUCUCUUUAUACAACUGCUUUAUGGAAACUGAGAGGCUUAAAUAUCACUAUGUGAAGGACUAUGGUAAAAGUGAAGUGGGUAUCAUUGAAAGGGUUCAAGAUCUCCUUCCUGUGGGUGACUCUAGGAGCUAAAGUUAAAAAUAUUAGACUCAUUAAUAAUCAAGGUGUAUGUAUAGAUGAUAUGUAUAAUGAUUGAUAUAUAUAGUUGUAAAGGAAAAAUUCAGAGAAAAUAUAUUUAUAUUGCUUUUUCACAUUUUAUUUUCAAGGGCAUAAAUUCUAAUUAAGCUAAAAUAAAAUAAGUAUUAUAAUUUCCACUUAUAGUAAUUAUAUCUUUGAGAUUAUUGUAUUAAUUCUAACAAAAUGAUCUAUUUUUACUUAUGAUCAAGUUUAAGGUUCUAUUAAUGGCUAGUAAAGCAAGAAAUCUAGCUUGUUCUUUCCUCUUUGAAAAAUCAAAUAAGGGGCAUGAACUAAGUUACACUCAUGAAAAUAUGUAAUGCAGUAAUAGUAAUAAAAAUGACAUAUUUUCAGUAAAGAUAACCUUACUAAAAUAUUACAGGAAAAGAAAUUAGUAAACAGAAUGUAAUUCCCUCCUGAUAUUGAAUCCUUUACCUAGUAAAAUGCCUAAAACAUUGCCACAGAACAUUAAUACCCAGUUUUGACUGUUCCAAAAAUUCUAAAAAACUACGGAUCAAAACACUGCAGUCAGCCAUCUGCAGCAGAGCCUUUAAAAGCCUCUUAAACUGGCAAGAGACCACAUUAAUCAAUUUGUGAUUUAUAUUGGACUUAUAAUUGAUUUCAUUUGAAAUCAUAAAUAUAGUUUCCAUUAAAAUAGACAUACACUCCUAACACUGUAAUAAUGCACUAUUCUGACAAUAUAGAAUUGAAGUUCAAGUUCAUAAAUGAGAGAGCUGGGUUCAAGUAGCUGACAAAAUGCAGAAUGAGAUUUGUAACUAGCUCUUGAAGGUAGGACCGUAAAGAUGAAUAGAGACAAUUGAAAGUACUUUUGCAUCCCAAAUAAAUUAUUUUAAGUACAGUUCUGGAGGAGACUCUUUCUUAAAUGAUGGCUUUUAUUAUUUAAGCAUGAUUUGUAAUAUAAUUCUCUUCCGUUAAACGUACCAUUCCUCUUUUGGGGCCAGUAUAGAGAUGACACAUUUGAAAUAGUAUUUUUAUUGUCCUACAUUGUAGCAUUGUCUUCUGCUUCUACGUCUUAAAUAUUACCUGUAAACAAUCCCAAUGAACAGGUAAUGAGUGAGCAAGUGGUGAUAUUAAAUAACCAAACAGAAUUGUAUUACAUUAGAGUAGAAAAAGUUAGAUAGAUAAUCCAAAAAAUAGUAAAUUUCACAUAUUAUCACAUUAUUAUUCAAUAGUAUGAUUGAAUUGUACAAAACAGAAUGUUGAAAAGGCUCAGAGUAACGAAUAUAGUCAAGAAUAUUUUUCAAAGAAGGAUGAUAAAUCUAGGUAAAAAUUGUGUACGGUUUCACUUCAAAUUUUAUUUCUAAUCAUCUUCUGACAGCAUAAAUGAAAAGACAUUUUGAAUACAGAGGUGAUGAUGGGGUCUCUUAAUAUUCAGAAAAUUUCAUAUUUCUUCAGAAUGUCUAGCAAUGAAAAUGUCUGAGCUGCUAUUUCCAUGUUAGAUCAAGCAGCUGCUACAAGUUGGUUCCGGUGUUUUGAGAGCCCCGUUUCCCUACCCUUUAGUGAACAUCCUCCAUGUUAAGAGUCCUGGGAUCUGAAGGCCCUCUCUCAUCCAUCUCAUGGAAAUCUUAGCCCUUCUCCCUUUCUCCCUUGAGCCCACGAGAAGCCCUUCUGACAAGGCACUGAGUCUCAGCUCUUCAGAGGGCACCCGGAUCCCCUCUUACUUUGGCAGAAUCCUCAUUUCCUGUGCCAGUCCAAGCCUGACUCUCCUCUCAUGUCCUGUUCCAAAUCCAGCAUAAGAGGACAUCUGUAAUGGCCACUACCAACGGAAGCCCUUGGCAAGUUCAUUCAGCAUAAAGGGGAGUGAGAGAUGCUUAUUCCACAGGUGUGUGUGUGUGCGCGUGUGUGUGUGUGUGUGUGUGUGCUUGAAUGUGAGAGAGUUCCUCAGCAUACCUUACCUCUUCUGAACUCCUAAGUAAAUGAAUUAAUAGCAUUUUUUUUUGUCUGAAAUCAGUCACUAACUACUGUUUAAACAUUUCUAUGGGGACAUGUACAUUGUAUUCCAAGAAAAUAAAAAAGUAUAAAAG